GAUGAACGCUGGCGGCGUGCCUAAUACAUGCAAGUCGAGCGGACGGACGAGAAGCUUGCUUCUCUGAUGUUAGCGGCGCACGUGUGAGUAACACGUGUAUAACCCACCUGUAAUUCUGGUAUAUCUUCGAGAAACCGGAUAUAACACGGGAGAAUAUUUUGCUCCGCAGGGUGGAAAAGAGAGAGACGGUCUUGCUGUCACGUAUAGCUGGAUAUGCGCUGCAUUAGCUAGUUGGUAAGGUAACGGCUUACGACGGCAACGAUGCAUAGGCGACGUGAGAGGGUGAUCGGCCACACUGGAACUGAGACACGGUCAAGACUACUAAGGGAGGCAGCAGUAGGGAAUCUUCCGCAAUGGGCGAAAGCCUGACGGAGCAACGCCGCGUGAGUGAUGGAGGUCUUCGGAUCGUAAAACCCUGUUAUUAGGGAAGAACAGAUGUGUAAGUAACUGUGCACAUCUUGACGGUACCUAAUCAGAAAGCCACGGCUAACUACGUG
rnacentral:rRNA from 1 species